GACGAACGCUGGCGGCGUGGAUUAGGCAUGCAAGUCGAACGGUAGGAUACCUUCGGGUAUCUGAGAGUGGCGAACGGGUGAGUAACACGUAGGUGAUCUACCCUCAAGAUUGGGACAACCCAGGGAAACUUGGGCUAAUACCGGAUGAAAGCAGCAGUGAUGUUGUUUGAAAGGUGGCGUAAGCUGCCGUUUGGGGAUGAGCCUGCGCUCUAUUAGUUAGUUGGCGGGGUAAAGGCCCACCAAGGCGAUGAUAGGUAGGCGGCCUUAACGGGUGGUCGCCCACACUGGGAUUGAGAUACGGCCCAGACUCCUACGGGAGGCAGCAGUCGAGAAUAGUCUACAAUGGCCGAAAGGCUGAUAGUGCGACGCCGCGUGAACGAAGAAGCCCUUCGGGUGUAAAGUUCUUUUAUAUGUGAGCAGUGCUUUCUAUGUGAACAGCAUGGGGAGAGAGAUAUUAGCAUAUGAAUAAGCAACGGCUAACUCCGUGCCAGCAGCCGC
rnacentral:rRNA from 1 species